CAGGCAUGAGCCGGUCACUAUGUAUCUUCUUUUAAAUGUAAGUUUUGUGUUUUAUAAUUUUUCACAUCUACUGAAUUAAAUCUGAACAGUGACUUUGUGCAAAAUAAAUUUUGCUGUCCAUUCUUGCCAAAAAGUCCUGAAUGUCCAGGAUGAUUUCUCCAGGACAUCUCUAUUGCUCCCAAGUUUCAAACAGUUUUUUGGGAGCCAAAACCUCAGGAUUUACCCUAGAUCUGGUUAACAUUUUGAAAAGAUACAGGAUUUUACCUAAACUGCCCUGAGUAGAAAACCAUCUUGUCAUUUUUCCCUUAUGCCUUCCCUGACAGGAGGGCAGAUACUAUCACACAGCAUACUUCUCAGUAGUUGGAAGGGUUUGAAGGUCCUGAUAAGCAGUGUCCAUAAAGAUAAGGGAGAGCUUUUCAUUUAACUAGUCACUCAGACUUUCAGGAAGUUUUGAGUGUUUUUUGUUUCUUUUUUUUUGAGACAGUCUCACUCUGUUGCCCAGGCUGGAGUACAAUGGCGCGAUCUCAGCUCACUGCAACCUCCACCUCCCGGGUUCAU
rnacentral:lncRNA from 10 species